rnacentral:rRNA from 1 species
UACGUGCCAGCAGCCGCGGUAAUACGUAGGGGGCGAGCGUUAUCCCGGAAUUAUUGGGCGUAAAGAGUGCGUAGGUGGCUCUUUAAGCGCAGGGUUUAAGGCUACGGCUUAACUGUAGUUCGCCCUGCGAACUGAAGGGCUUGAGUGCAGGAGGGGAAAGCGGAAUUCCUAGUGUAGCGGUGAAAUGCGUAGAUAUUAGGAGGAACACCAGUGGCGAAGGCGGCUUUCUGGACUGAAACUGACACUGAGGCACGAAAGCGUGGGGAGCAAACAGGAUUAGAUACCCUGGUAGUCCACGCCGUAAACGAUGAGCACUAGGUGUCGGGCCGUAAAGGCUCGGUGCCGGAGUUAACGCAAUAAGUGCUCCGCCUGGGGAGUACGCACGCAAGUGUAAAACUCAAAGGAAUUGACGGGGACCCGCACAAGCAGCGGAGCAUGUGGUUUAAUUCGAAGCAACGCGAAGAACCUUACCAGGUCUUGACAUCCCUCUGAAACUCCCGAUAACGACGGAGCCCUCUUCGGAGCAGAGGAGACAGGUGGUGCAUGGUUGUCGUCAGCUCGUGUCGUGAGAUGUUGGGUUAAGUCCCGCAACGAGCGCAACCCUUGCCUUUAGUUGCCAUCAUUAAGUUGGGCACUCUAAAGGGACUGCCGGGGACAACUCGGAGGAAGGUGGGGAUGACGUCAAAUCAUCAUGCCCCUUAUGAUCUGGGCUACACACGUGCUACAAUGGCCGGUACAACAGGAAGCGAAGGAGUGAUCCGGAGCGAAUCCCCAAAGCCGGUCCCAGUUCGGACUGCAGGCUGCAACCCGCCUGCACGAAGUCGGAGUUGCUAGUAAUCGCGGAUCAGAAUGCCGCGGUGAAUGCGUUCCCGGGUCUUGUACACACCGCCCGU